rnacentral:rRNA from 1 species
CGCGUGAGUGAAGAAGGGUUUCGGCUCGUAAAGCUCUGUUGUUGGUGAAGAAGGACAGGGGUAGUAACUGACCUUUGUUUGACGGUAAUCAAUUAGAAAGUCACGGCUAACUACGUGCCAGCAGCCGCGGUAAU